AGUGAACGCUGGCGGUAGGCCUAACACAUGCCAGUCGAACGGCAGCACAGUAAGAGCUUGCUCUUACGGGUGGCGAGUGGCGGACGGGUGAGGAAUACAUCGGAAUCUACUUUUUCGUGGGGGAUAACGUAGGGAAACUUACGCUAAUACCGCAUACGACCUACGGGUGAAAGCAGGGGAUCUUCGGACCUUGCGCGUUUGAAUGAGCCGAUGUCGGAUUAGCUAGUUGGCGGGGUAAAGGCCCACCAAGGCGACGAUCCGUAGCUGGUCUGAGAGGAUGAUCAGCCACACUGGAACUGAGACACGGUCCAGACUCCUACGGGAGGCAGCAGUGGGGAAUAUUGGGCAAUGGGCGAAAGCCUGAUCCAGCCAUACCGCGUGGGUGAAGAAGGCCUUCGGGUUGUAAAGCCCUUUUGUUGGGAAAGAAAAGCAGCAGGUUAAUACCCCGCUGUUCUGACGGUACCCAAAGAAUAAGCACCGGCUAACUUCGUG
rnacentral:rRNA from 1 species